CGAGCAGUAUUUUACCCAAAAAAAAAAAAAGUAGAAUUUUCACAUAGUUCAACUGUGCUGUCAAAAGCUCAAAGCCAAUACUUUCUCUAGCCAUAACAGCAGUUUUCUUUCUUUUGUUUUGAACAGUGCAAAUAACACAGUUUAUAAUCUAGUGAUAUCAAAGUACCACAUUAGGAUAUGAUAAUGUCUUAAAGCUUUGGCAGUGAUUAUAUGCUGCCAUGACAUAACUAAUUCUUGGUACCAACAUCCUUAACGGCGUUAAUCUGCUCUUCGCCCAUCGCAGACAUAACAGACACCACAAGAUCCUUUCCUUCCUGGAACCCAUCUUUAACCUGCUUCAGCAGAUUUUCAUCGGUGGGAAG
rnacentral:misc_RNA from 1 species